GUCUCUGUGGCACAGUUGUUAGAGUGUUUGGCUGCUGACCAUGAGGGUGGUGAUUCAAGUCCACCCAGGGAUG
rnacentral:tRNA from 1 species